rnacentral:rRNA from 1 species
UACGGGGGGGGCAAGCGUUGUUCGGAAUUACUGGGCGUAAAGGGCGCGUAGGCGGCCUGAUAAGUAGGGGGUGAAAUCCUGCGGCUUAACCGCAGGGCUGCCUUCUAAACUGUCAGGCUGGAGCACAGUAGAGGCAGGUGGAAUUCCCGGUGUAGCGGUGGAAUGCGUAGAGAUCGGGAAGAACAUCAGUGGCGAAGGCGGCCUGCUGGACCAUAACUGACACUCAGGGACGAAAGCUAGGGGAGCGAAUGGG